rnacentral:pre_miRNA from 1 species
UAAAAGUUAUCUCGUAUGGAGUUGGAACGUUUGUCUAUGUUUGCCGCUAGAGGCGCUGUUCUAACUGCAUACAACUUUGAGUUA